UACGUAGGAGGCGAGCGUUGUCCGGAAUUACUGGGCGUAAAGCGCACGUAGGCGGCUUUGUAAGUUAGAGGUGAAAGCCCGGGGCUCAACUCCGGAAUUGCCUUUAAGACUGCAUCGCUAGAAUUGUGGAGAGGUAAGUGGAAUUCCGAGUGUAGAGGUGAAAUUCGUAGAUAUUCGGAAGAACACCAGUGGCGAAGGCGACUUACUGGACACAUAUUGACGCUGAGGUGGCGAAAGCGUGGGAGCAACAGG
rnacentral:rRNA from 1 species